UGGGAACCUUCAGAACAGUGAGUGAAUCAGGGUGACGGAGGGCUAACUGAUUGGAAAAGCAAUCACAGUCCACCGUAGCUGCCUGAUUAGAUGAUUAUCUGCAGGGGUUGGGAGCUCCAUGAGCAAUCAGCCAUGGUUGAGGGGGAGAAAGGAGCAGGUGUGAGGGAGGCCGCUUUCAUGGGGAGAUGUGAACAUGGCAGCUGACGAGCGCUGGAAUACCAAACAUCAAAAUGUAGUUAGAUCGAAGGAACUGCCUCCAACUGGCAGUGUGAGGUGUAGCAUGAAGAGACCGAUAUGAAUUCUAAAUCGUCUUUGUGAUGGAUACCAACAUCAUUUACUGCUGUCCGUCUCAUUGUUACAUCUUAAGAGAGCCUGCAAGUGUUAAGUGUAAAAGAUCAAAGGUUCCAUGGAGAUGUAACACUCAUUUACUGGAAAAACAAGAAGUCAGCAUUGCUGAAGAAGGACGAACAGAUUUGGAGAAAUGUAGCCUGUAAAUGGAUCCUCUGCAGUGAAUGGGUGCCGUCAGAAUGAGAGUCCAAACAGCUGAAGAAAACAUCACAGUAAUCCACAAGUAAUGCACAAGACUCCAUUUGAUCAAUAAAUGUCUUGUGAAGUGAAAAACUAAAAUUUUGAAAAAAAAAUCCAUAAAUAAGACUGAGCUGAGUAAUGUUGUGUAAAGAUUGAGCAAUGUUGCUUUCUCCGGUGAAAAAGUAUUGCUAGGAUAUAGGAAUACACACAGAUCAAACACUGUUA